GAUGAAGAACGCAGUGAAAUGCGAUAGGUAGUGUGAAUUGCAGAUGUAACGUGAAUCAUCGAAUCUUUGAACGCAAAUUGCACUCUCUGGUAUUCCGGGGAGUAUGCCUGUUUGAGGGUCGCCAAAUCAACAUCGAAAUUCAUUUGCUUUUGUAAAUGUUUAUCGGAUUUGAGCCGUCUUUUAUUUUUUUAAUUAAAGUGGCUUAAAAUGUAUUUUUUGGUAUCGAAAAACGUUAUUUUACGAUCAAAUUGAUUAAAAAAACAAACGUUUCGAAUGCCGUCUUUUAAUGUAAUACGCUUGACUGUGGUGUUAAUCAUAGUUUCAUUCGUAUACGAUUUUUUAAUUUUUGACCUCAAAUCAGGUAAGAACACCCGCUGAACUUAAGCAUAUCAAUAAGCGGAGGA
rnacentral:misc_RNA from 1 species